rnacentral:rRNA from 1 species
UACGUAGGGUGCGAGCGUUAAUCGGAAUUACUGGGCGUAAAGGGUGCGCAGGCGGCAGAGCAAGUCGAGUGUGAAAGCCCCGGGCUUAACUUGGGAAUUGCGCUCGAAACUACUUUGCUGGAGUGUGGCAGAGGAAGGUGGAAUUCCACGUGUAGCGGUGAAAUGCGUAGAGAUGUGGAGGAACACCAAUGGCGAAGGCAGCCUUCUGGGCCAACACUGACGCUCAUGCACGAAAGCCAGGGGAGCAAACGGG